rnacentral:rRNA from 1 species
GAUGAACGCUGGCGGCGUGCCUAAUACAUGCAAGUCGAGCGAACAGAUGAGGAGCUUGCUCCUCUGACGUUAGCGGCGGACGGGUGAGUAACACGUGGAUAACCUACCUAUAAGACUGGGAUAACUUCGGGAAACCGGAGCUAAUACCGGAUAAUAUAUUGAACCGCAUGGUUCAAUAGUGAAAGACGGUUUUGCUGUCACUUAUAGAUGGAUCCGCGCCGCAUUAGCUAGUUGGUAAGGUAACGGCUUACCAAGGCAACGAUGCGUAGCCGACCUGAGAGGGUGAUCGGCCACACUGGAACUGAGACACGGUCCAGACUCCUACGGGAGGCAGCAGUAGGGAAUCUUCCGCAAUCGGCGAAAGCCUGACGGAGCAACGCCGCGUGAGUGAUGAAGGUCUUCGGAUCGUAAAACUCUGUUAUUAGGGAAGAACAAAUGUGUAAGUAACUAUGCACGUCUUGACGGUACCUAAUCAGAAAGCCACGGCUAACUACGUG